UCUAACUCAGGUGGUAAAGAAUCUGCCUGCAAUGCAGGAGACCCAGGUUCAAUUCCUGG
rnacentral:tRNA from 1 species